AUUGUAGUCUGNAACCCGACUACAUGAAGCUGGAAUCGCUAGUAAUCGCGAAUCAGAAUGUCGCGGUGAAUACGUUCCCGGGUCUUGUACACACCGCCCGUCACACCAUGGGAGUCGGAAAUGCCCGAAGUCAGUGACCUAACCGAAAGGGAGGAGCUGCCGAAGGUGGAGCCGGUAACUGGGGUGAAGUCGUAACAAGGUAGC
rnacentral:rRNA from 1 species